rnacentral:rRNA from 1 species
CCUACGGGCGGCAGCAGUGAGGAAUAUUGGUCAAUGGGCGCGAGCCUGAACCAGCCAAGUCGCGUGAGGGAAGACGGCCCUACGGGUUGUAAACCUCUUUUGCCGGGGAGCAACGGGCGCCACGUGUGGCGCCACGGAGAGGACCCGGAGAAAAAGCAUCGGCUAACUCCGUGCCAGCAGCCGCGGUAAUACUGAGGAUGCGAGCGUUAUCCGGAUGUAUUGGGUUUAAAGGGGGCGUAGGCGGAGCGUUAAGUCAGUGGUCAAAUUGAGGGGCUCAACCCCUUCCCGCCAUUGAAACUGGCGCUCUUGAGUGGAAGAGAAGUCUGCGGACUGCGUGGUGUAGCGGUGAAAUGCAUAGAUCUCCCGCAGAACCCCGAUUGCGCAGGCAGCAUGCCGGCUUCCUACUGCCGCUGUAGCACGACAGCGUGGGGAUCGAACAGGCUUAGAUACCCCGGUAGUC